AUUGAACGCUGGCGGCAGGCCUAACACAUGCAAGUCGAACGGUAACAGGAAGAAGCUUGCUUCUUUGCUGACGAGUGGCGGACGGGUGAGUAAUGUCUGGGAAACUGCCUGAUGGAGGGGGAUAACUACUGGAAACGGUAGCUAAUACCGCAUAACGUCGCAAGACCAAGAGGGGGACCUUCGGGCCUCUUGCCAUCGGAUGUGCCCAGAUGGGAUUAGCUAGUAGGUGGGGUAACGGCUCACCUAGGCGACGAUCCCUAGCUGGUCUGAGAGGAUGACCAGCCACACUGGAACUGAGACACGGUCCAGACUCCUACGGGAGGCAGCAGUGGGGAAUAUUGCACAAAGGGCGCAAGCCUGAUGCAGCCAUGCCGCGUGUAUGAAGAAGGCCUUCGGGUUGUAAAGUACUUUCAGCGGGGAGGAAGGGAGUAAAGUUAAUACCUUUACUCAUUGACGUUACCCGCAGAAGAAGCACCGGCUAACUCCGUG
rnacentral:rRNA from 1 species